UUGGAGGGCAAGUCUGGUGCCCGCAGCCGCGGUAAUUCCAGCUCCAAUAGCGUAUAUUAAAGUUGUUGCAGUUAAAAAGCUCGUAGUUGAAUCUCGGGAUUGACACAUCGGUCGUGCCUUAAGGGGUAUGAACUGGUGUAGUCAGUCUCUCACCUUCUGGAGAACCGCGAUGUCCUUAAUUGGGUGCCGCGAGGAACCAGGACCUUUACUUUGAAAAAAUUAGAGUGUUUAAAGCAGGCAUUUUGCUUGAAUACAUUAGCAUGGAGUAAUAAAAUAGGACGGAUGGUUCUAUUUUGUUGGUUUCUAGGAUCACCGUAAUGAUUAAUAGGGAUAGUUGGGGGCAUUAGUAUUCAAUUGUCAGAGGUGAAAUUCUUGGAUUUAUUGAAGACUAACUACUGCGAAAGCAUUUGCCAAGGAUGUUUUCAUUAAUCAAGAACGAAAGUUAGGGGAUCGAAGACGAUCAGAUACCGUCGUAGUCUUAACCAUAAACUAUGCCGACUAGGAAUCAGACGAUGUUAAUUUUUUAAUGACUCGUUUGGCACCUUACGGGAAACCAAAGUGUUUGGGUUC
rnacentral:rRNA from 1 species